UACGUAGGGUGCAAGCGUUAAUCGGAAUUACUGGGCGUAAAGCGUGCGCAGGCGGUUUUGUAAGUCUGUUGUGAAAUCCCCGGGCUCAACCUGGGAAUGGCGAUGGAGACUGCAAGGCUAGAAUCUGGCAGAGGGGGGUAGAAUUCCACGUGUAGCAGUGAAAUGCGUAGAUAUGUGGAGGAACACCGAUGGCGAAGGCAGCCCCCUGGGCUAAGAUUGACGCUCAUGCACGAAAGCGUGGGGAGCAAACAGG
rnacentral:rRNA from 1 species